UCAAGAAUAAAUAGUGAAUAG
rnacentral:piRNA from 1 species